UAGGGAAUCUUCGGCAAUGGACGAAAGUCUGACCGAGCAACGCCGCGUGAGUGAAGAAGGUUUUCGGAUCGUAAAACUCUGUUGUUAGAGAAGAACAAGGACGUUAGUAACUGAACGUCCCCUGACGGUAUCUAACCAGAAAGCCACGGCUAACUACGUGCCAGCAGCCGCGGUAAUACGUAGGUGGCAAGCGUUGUCCGGAUUUAUUGGGCGUAAAGCGAGCGCAGGCGGUUUCUUAAGUCUGAUGUGAAAGCCCCCGGCUCAACCGGGGAGGGUCAUUGGAAACUGGGAGGCUUGAGUGCAGAAGAGGAGAGUGGAAUUCCAUGUGUAGCGGUGAAAUGCGUAGAUAUAUGGAGGAACACCAGUUGCGAAGGCGGCUCUCUGGUCUGUAACUGACGCUGAGGCUCGAAAGCGUGGGGAGCAAACAGG
rnacentral:rRNA from 1 species